GGUCUGGGCUGUGACUGUGGGAGGCGCCGGCGUGAUGGCGGUGGAGACUCUGUCCCCGGACUGGGAGUUCGACCGCGUUGACGACGGCUCACAGAAAAUUCAUGCUGAAGUCCAGCUUAAGAAUUAUGGGAAAUUUCUUGAGGAGUAUACCUCUCAAUUGAGAAGAAUUGAGGACGCACUGGAUGAUUCAAUUGGAGAUGUUUGGGAUUUCAAUCUUGAUCCUAUAGCAUUAAAGCUUUUGCCUUAUGAACAGUCUUCCCUUUUGGAACUCAUAAAGACUGAAAACAAGGUCUUAAACAAAGUCAUCACUGUUUAUGCUGCACUUUGUUGUGAAAUCAAGAAAUUAAAAUAUGAGGCUGAAACUAAAUUUUAUAAUGGUCUCUUGUUUUAUGGAGAAGGAGCUACAGAUUCCAGCAUGGUGGAAGGUGAUUGCCAAAUUCAAAUGGGGAGAUUUAUUUCAUUCUUACAGGAACUGUCUUGUUUUGUUACGAGGUGCUAUGAAGUGGUGAUGAAUGUAGUCCAUCAGUUGGCUGCCCUCUAUAUCAGUAACAAGAUUGCACCCAAAAUUAUAGAGACAACUGGAGUUCAUUUUCAGACUACGUAUGAGCACUUGGGAGAGCUGCUAGCAGUUCUGCUUACCCUGGAUGAAAUUAUUGAUAAUCAUAUCACAUUGAAAGACCACUGGACUAUGUACAAAAGGUUACUGAAAUCUGUCCAUCACAACCCUUCAAAAUUUGGAAUUCAGGAAGAAAAACUAAAGCCAUUUGAAAAGUUCUUGCUGAAGCUAGAAGGGCAGUUACUUGAUGGAAUGAUAUUUCAGGCCUGUAUAGAACAGCAGUUUGAUUCUCUCAAUGGAGGAGUAUCUGUGUCAAAAAAUAGCACUUUUGCUGAAGAAUUUGCACAUAGUAUUCGCUCAAUUUUUGCAAAUGUAGAAGCCAAACUUGGAGAACCUUCUGAAAUUGACCAGAGAGACAAGUAUGUAGGAAUUUGUGGACUCUUUGUAUUGCACUUUCAGAUUUUUCGAACUGUUGAUAAAAAGUUUUAUAAGUCUUUAUUGGACAUUUGUAAGAAGGUACCAGCCAUCACUCUGACUGCUAAUAUUAUUUGGUUUCCUGACAAUUUUUUGAUCCAGAAAAUACCAGCAGCUGCCAAACUUCUGGAUAGAAAAAGUCUUCAAGCCAUUAAAAUAUACAGAGAUACUUUCCUACAGCAGAAAGCUCAGUCACUUACCAAAGAUGUGCAGUCUUACUACGUCUUUGUGAGCUCAUGGAUGAUGAAAAUGGAAUCUAUUUUAUCUAAAGAGCAGAGAAUGGAUAAAUUUGCUGAAGACCUCACCAAUAGAUGUAAUGUUUUUAUACAGGGCUUUUUAUAUGCAUAUAGUAUUAGUACCAUUAUUAAAACCACAAUGAAUCUCUACAUGUCCAUGCAAAAGCCAAUGACCAAAACAUCAGUUAAGGCAUUAUGCAGGCUUGUUGAACUUCUCAAGGCAAUAGAACAUAUGUUCUACAGGAGAAGCCUGGUUGUGGCUGAUUCAGUCUCACAUAUAACACAGCAUCUUCAGCAUCAGGCUCUUAAUUCUAUUUCUGUGGCCAAGAAAAGAGUAAUUUCUGACAAAAAAUAUAGUGAACAGCGUCUUGAUGUGCUUUCUGCUCUAGUUUUGGCUGAAAACACUCUAAAUGGACCAAGCACAAAGCAACGACGACUUAUUGUUUCUUUGGCACUAAGUGUUGGCACACAAAUGAAAACAUUUAAAGAUGAAGAACUCUUUCCACUUCAAGUAGUCAUGAAAAAGCUGGAUCUUAUCAGUGAACUUAGAGAAAGAGUCCAAACACAAUGUGACUGUUGUUUUUUAUACUGGCAUCGAGCUGUCUUCCCAAUUUAUUUAGAUGAUGUAUAUGAAAAUGCUGUUGAUGCAGCCAGAUUACAUUACAUGUUCAGUGCUUUACGUGACUGUGUACCUGCUAUGAUGCAUGCAAGGCACUUAGAGUCCUAUGAAGUACUUCUGGAUUGCUAUGACAAGGAAAUCAUGGAAAUUUUAAAUGAGCAUUUGCUGGACAAGUUGUGCAAAGAAAUAGAGAAGGACCUGCGACUUUCUGUGCAUACUCAUUUAAAGCUGGAUGACAGAAACCCUUUCAAAGUUGGCAUGAAAGACCUGGCCCUUUUUUUCUCUCUGAAUCCAAUUCGGUUUUUCAAUCGUUUCAUUGACAUUCGAGCUUAUGUAACUCACUACCUAGACAAGACUUUCUACAAUCUAACAACAGUAGCUCUUCAUGACUGGGCCACUUACAGUGAAAUGAGAAAUUUAGCUACUCAGCGUUAUGGAUUGGUUAUGACUGAGGCACAUCUUCCUAGUCAGACUUUGGAACAGGGCCUGGAUGUCUUGGAAAUUAUGAGAAACAUUCAUAUAUUUGUGUCUCGAUACCUCUAUAAUCUCAACAAUCAAAUUUUUAUUGAGCGAACAAGCAAUAAUAAACAUUUGAACACUAUUAACAUUCGGCAUAUUGCUAAUUCAAUUCGAACACAUGGCACAGGAAUCAUGAAUACAACAGUUAAUUUCACCUACCAGUUUUUGAAAAAGAAGUUCUAUAUAUUUAGCCAAUUUAUGUAUGAUGAACAUAUCAAAUCCAGAUUGAUUAAAGAUAUUCGGUUUUUCAGGGAAAUCAAGGACCAAAAUGAUCAUAAGUAUCCUUUUGAAAGAGCAGAAAAAUUCAAUCGAGGCAUCAGAAAACUUGGAAUAACCCCAGAGGGACAAAGCUACCUUGAUCAGUUCAGGCAACUCAUCAGCCAAAUUGGUAAUGCUAUGGGCUAUGUACGGAUGAUAAGAUCUGGUGGCCUUCAUUGUAGCAGCAAUGCCAUUAGAUUUGUACCUGAUCUUGAAGAUAUUGUAAAUUUUGAAGAACUAGUAAAAGAAGAAGGUCUUGCAGAAGAAACAUUAAAAGCAGCUAGGCAUUUGGAUUCAGUCCUCAGUGAUCACACCCGAAAUUCUGCCGAAGGCACAGAGUAUUUCAAAAUGCUUGUGGAUGUUUUUGCUCCAGAAUUUCGAAGGCCGAAGAAUAUACAUCUCCGAAAUUUCUAUAUCAUUGUUCCACCUCUGACCCUCAACUUUGUAGAGCAUUCCAUUAGUUGCAAGGAGAAAUUGAAUAAAAAAAAUAAAAUUGGAGCUGCCUUUACUGAUGAUGGCUUUGCCAUGGGUGUGGCUUAUAUUCUGAAGCUUUUGGAUCAGUACCAGGAAUUUGACUCACUUCACUGGUUCCAGUCUGUUAGAGAGAAGUACCUGAAGGAGAUAAGAGCAGUUGCUAAGCAACAGAAUGUGCAGUCCACUAGUCAGGAUGAAAAACUACUACAAACCAUGAAUCUCACUCAGAAGCGACUGGAUGUUUAUCUACAGGAAUUUGAAUUGCUCUGUUUCUCACUGAGCAGUGCAAGAAUUUUCUUCAGAGCUGACAAGACUGCAGCUGAAGAAAACCAAGAAAAGAAAGAGAAAGAAGAAGAGACUAAAACAAGCAACGGAGACCUGUCCGACAGCACUGUGUCUGCAGAUCCUGUUGUCAAAUGAUACUGAUGGUCUUUGAUCCAUAUUUGUCUCAGUCAUUGGAAAUUCAGUGCAUAUACUAUGUACAGCCAGUAAUGUUUAAACAAAAGGAAUUGAGCCUGAAACUCAUGAAGCAUACAUUUCAAUAUUCUUAUAAAAGGGAUAUAUGAAGAUGGUUUUGAUACUAGAGCUUUUGGAACGGGUGUACUGUUACCCUGUCUGUAUUCAUUGAUCACGGUCAGGGUAACUUUCCCAGCUCAAGGUAACACUUUCACUGUUAAAAUUCAGAAGAAACAGAAUAGGUAGGAAGUGUUUUUUGUUUAUUAUGUAAACAUGACUUACAGAGUUAUGUACAAUGGAUGGAUUAAAGGCAUUUAAUAUUUGUAAUUUGUACUAACUGUAGAAAUGGCCCUAAAGCAUGCUGCAUAAUUAAUAAUUUAUAUUUUCAUUAUUGUAAAUGUUUAUAUUAAUGAUAUUGCAUUUGAUUGUAUCAAAUUGGUCACCAUUUCAUAGCAACAGUAUUGUUUUUUCUGUUUUUCUUCUCUAACUUCCCUAAAAUCGUCUCCUUUAAUAGAGAUAGAAAUUCUAAAUAGAAGAGGAUCAGAUGUCUCUGUCAUUAUCCCCACACAUGUCA